UCCGUAGGUGAACCUGCGGAGGGAUCAUUGCUGGAACGCGCCUCGGCGCACCCAGAAACCCUUUGUGAACUUAUACCUUUACUGUUGCCUCGGCGCAUAGCUGGCCCCCUCGGGGGCCCCCCGAGACGGGGAGCAGGCACGCCGGCGGCCAAGUUAACUCUUGUUUUUACACUGAAACUCUGAGUAUUCAAACAUAAAUGAAUCAAAACUUUCAACAACGGAUCUCUUGGUUCUGGCAUCGAUGAAGAACGCAGCGAAAUGCGAUAAGUAAUGUGAAUUGCAGAAUUCAGUGAAUCAUCGAAUCUUUGAACGCACAUUGCGCCCUCUGGUAUUCCGGAGGGCAUGCCUGUUCGAGCGUCAUUUCAACCCUCAAGCCUGGCUUGGUGUUGGGGCGCCGCCUGUAAAAGGGCGGGCCCUGAAAUUCAGUGGCGAGCUCGCCAGGACCCCGAGCGCAGUAGUUAAACCCUCGCUUUGGAAGGUUCCUGGCGGUAUCUGCCGUUAAACCCCCAACUUCUGAAAAUUUGACCUCGGAUCAGGUAGGAAUACCCGCUGAACUUAAGCAUAUCAAUAAGCGGA
rnacentral:rRNA from 1 species